GAUCUUUCCAAUUACCAUACUGAGAGGCAGAUCUUCAAUGGAGAUGGAGGAGAAACCAACAUUUGUCACUGGAUCUAUCAGCUUCCAUUAGAAUGGAUAGAAGACUUUUUGGGGACUGCUCUUCUCGGGGAAUCCUGAUCGGACACAAAUGUGAAAUGCUCAGAAUGGACUCCAAGGACCUUGAUGUCUUUCAGUGAGCAACUUUGAUGUAUACUUGUAUCGGGAUAAUUAAACCUCCCUCUGAAACAUGCUGGCUGCUUAGGUGUUGAGCGCAGGAAUAAUGAUCACAACAGGUUGCAUUAUGCCGGAUUUCACAGUGACAUGGAAUUAAAAACAACCUUCAAGGUCAAAAAAAAAAA